GGGUAGCCUAGUGGACAUGGCAUCUGCCCGGUAAGCGGAACACUGUGGGUUCGUUUCCCAUUUUUCCG